AUACAGCUGACGAGUCCCAAAUAGGACGAAGUGACGCGCUUCCUGGAU
rfam:Schistosoma mansoni, Puerto Rico, WGS project CABG01000000 data, contig: 0077